ensembl:lincRNA
AUGGGAAAUGAAAAUGUAUGUAGUAACUUGGCAUUUCUAGACAGCUAUUCUACUUGGAGAUUAAUGCUUUACUUCCCUCCCAUUUUUCUCUCUUCCUGUUCCAGCAAGAGGCAGCAGAAAAUCACCUUGGUUGUCCAAGGAAGAUUAAUAGUCUUUCAAUCUGAUGUGUCUCCUACUGAAGAGAGAGAAUACGUUCUGGUCACACUGACGUAGGCACUGCUAUGUUAUUUUCUCCAUCUAAUGCAUUGUGGUUUGCCCUGUCUAGUGUGUGCAACUUGAAAUAAAGUACAAAUAUGGAUACAUGGUUCAGUU